AUUGAACGCUGGCGGCAGGCCUAACACAUGCAAGUCGGACGGUAGCACAGAGGAGCUUGCUCCACGGGUGACGAGUGGCGGACGGGUGAGUAAUGUCUGGGGAUCUGCCCGAUAGAGGGGGAUAACCACUGGAAACGGUGGCUAAUACCGCAUAACGUCGCAAGACCAAAGAGGGGGACCUUCGGGCCUCUCACUAUCGGAUGAACCCAGAUGGGAUUAGCUAGUAGGCGGGGUAACGGCCCACCUAGGCGACGAUCCCUAGCUGGUCUGGGAGGAUGACCAGCCACACUGGAACUGAGACACGGUCCAGACUCCUACGGGAGGCAGCAGUGGGGAAUAUUGCACAAUGGGCGCAAGCCUGAUGCAGCCAUGCCGCGUGUAUGAAGAAGGCCUUCGGGUUGUAAAGUACUUUCAGCGGGGAGGAAGGCGAUGUGGUUAAUAACCGCAUUGAUUGACGUUACCCGCAGAAGAAGCACCGGCUAACUCCGUGCCAGCCGCCGCCGUAA
rnacentral:rRNA from 1 species